rnacentral:misc_RNA from 1 species
GAUGAAGAACGUAGCGAAAUGCGAUACUUGGUGUGAAUUGCAGAAUCCCGUGAACCAUCGAGUCUUUGAACGCAAGUUGUGCCCGAAGCCAUUAGGCCGAGGGCACGCCUGCCUGGGUGUCACACGUCGUUGCCCCCCCAUCUACUCCUUCGGGAUUGCGGGGGGCGGAUGAUGGCCUCCCGUGCGCCUCGUCGCGCGGUUGGCAUAAAUGCCAAGUCCUCGGCGACGCACGCCACGACAAUCGGUGGUUGCGAAACCUCGGUUGCCCGUCGUGUGCGGUCGUCGCGCAUCGAGGGCUCGAAAAAAUUGCCGGGCUCCGGCUCGGCUUUCAACGCGACCCCAGGUCAGGCGGGGUUACCCGCUGAAUUUAAGCAUAUCAAUAAGCGGAGGA